AAAUAAAAACAAAAUAUUCGAAAUGCCAAAAUACAAAGGAAUGGCGAGCAGAGACAGAUUACCGCGAGAUUGUGAGCUUCUCAUUCCGGUGGCCGACUCCGGCGACGAAGACGCAUCGUCUAAACCCUCCCCAUCUUCACCUCCUCCCACCACACAGGCCGCGAGUGUGUCGUAUUUCCAAUAGCGAUCACUUUCUAUAUCGCGUGGUGGUUUAUUCACUUUGUGGAUAGCUUCUUCUCUCCAAUCCAUGCUCAACUUGGAAUCAACAUUUUUGGAAAAUCAGGAGAAGGGAAUUAAUUGAUUAGCCUUUCGCUCUCUCCAAAUGGUGAAGGCCAACAGAGUCAGGCGUCCGGCUGAAUGUGGCCUGAGAAAGUGGAUUGAUGAUCAGGAGACAAAGAAAGACAUGGAAAGGAUUUGCAAAGGCCCGCAAGAGGAUCAUCGUCAAUUGAGUUGGAUAUCUGCUCUUCACUGUUACUGACCGCUGGAUACUGUGGCUGCCGCUGGAGAAGUACUGGGAGAUGAUGAGGACGUGGUCGAGGUUGAGAGUGACGCUGUCGUGAGCGAGGUCGAAUAUGACGGCCUGCAGGGAGAGUAUCAAGAGACAAGGAAAGACGUAAAUGCGCUAGGCCUAGAGGAUCAGCAUCAUGUACUGUUAUUGGGAGUCGUUGUUUCUUCGUGGUCGUAACAAUCACUUCAUGUACUGUUAUUGGGAGUCGUCGUUUCUUCGUGGUCGUAACAAUCACUUCACCCGUAGAAUUCCAAAGUUUUGACGUGGAGGAGGAUGAAGAGGAAGCUUCGUGGGCUGUCAUAGCAGUAUCCACCGUUAUGGCACUGCAGUGGUUCAGAUUAAGACUGAAAAAUAUGGCAGUGGUUGUGUUUGUGUUGCCGAACCGAUGACACUUAGAUACCUAAACCCAAGUCAAGAUCCUUCAAUCAACAAAAACAAAAGUUUAUAAUAUAAUAAUGUUUAGUUAGUGACUUGAGAAGGACUAGAAUUCUCUCUUCUCCUCUUGUCAUUCCCUUCUAUCCCGUCAUCUCACUCUUUAUAUUGUCUUUCUUUUUUUAUAAAAAU